UUAAAAAUAUGGAUAAAAUCACAAUCAGAGAAAACUCCCAGGCUUUUCUGUGAUUCUUUUUCUGACCAGCAGAUGGUGUUGCUGCUACACUGUACAAACUGUAAACUAAGAAAGCCUUCACUGUCUUAUCAUUCACACAGGGGGAAGAACCCACAUGAUGUCCUGGUCCGCUACAGCAAAAUAAAACAACCGCAGUGUCGAUGCUUACUGGGCCUGUCUACAGUCAAUCCAGGCAAGUGAUUCACCAACUCCAGGGCAGACGGUGGAGGGGAUAUAGGAAGCCUGGAAGAACACACACUUCAGCCGCUUCUGAUCUCUAUUUACAGCAGGACCUGUGAUUUAAAAACAGAAUGCAGACAGGUUGACUGAGUUGCUGUUGACGGGCUGUUGCCAGAUCGGGUGCAUUUAAGAAACGCUGACAUUUUGGCCUGACUUUCAGAUGUUGAUGUCUGUCCAUCUUUGGUUUUAGAAUGAUUUAUGACACUAGUUGGAAAGCUUUUAUUGCACUUAACGUAACGAGUUUUCAACCUGUCUUUGCUCUGCUCUGCUGGCUUAAACACACAAACACAGUGAACCCGAACGCAGAGGAGAGGAGAGAAAACGCCAUGAGAGCAAAACACAGUCAAGACUCUCACGCUGAGCUGAAAUGAAACAACUGUACAUAAAUCGAGUAAAUAACAUAAAUAAAAUGUUUUGUUUUUUUAAUUAAUGUUUUUUUUCUUUGGUUUUCUUUCGGGGUUGUUUGUUUGUGUGUGUGUGUGUGUGUGUGUGUGUGUGUGGGGGGGGGGGGGGGGGGUCCCAUUAGGCAAUGGUCAGGGAAACACCGGUACAUUC